UUAAGUUCAGCGGGUAAUCCCACCUGAUUUGAUGACGAAAUUUAAGUGGCGUCCCCACAACGCGAAAUUCGCAGCAUCUCACAUAAUCCCAAGACCCACAGAUUCACAACACCCCCAACAAAGCUAGUAGCAAGAGAACCAAAAAGGUAAUUAUGAAACUGACUUCAGUUGAGUGUAUAGUCAUGAAACUAUAAACCGUG
rnacentral:misc_RNA from 1 species